rnacentral:rRNA from 1 species
GACGAACGCUGGCGGCGUGCUUAACACAUGCAAGUCGAGCGGAAAGGCCCUUUGGGGUACUCGAGCGGCGAACGGGUGAGUAACACGUGAGUAAUCUGCCCUUGGCUUUGGGAUAGCCACCGGAAACGGUGAUUAAUACCGGAUACGACCACUCCUGGCAUCAGGUGGUGGUGGAAAGUUUUUCGGCCAGGGAUGUGCUCGCGGCCUAUCAGCUUGAUGGUGAGGUAAUGGCUCACCAUGGCUUCGACGGGUAGCCGGCCUGAGAGGGUGACCGGCCACACUGGGACUGAGACACGGCCCAGACUCCUACGGGAGGCAGCAGUGGGGAAUAUUGGACAAUGGGCGGAAGCCUGAUCCAGCAACGCCGCGCGAGGGAUGACGGCCUUCGGGUUGUAAACCUCUUUCAGCAGGGACGAAGCGCAAGUGACGGUACCUGCAGAAGAAGCACCGGCCAACUACGUGCCAGCCGCCGCAGUAAUAC